rnacentral:rRNA from 1 species
GACGAAGGGGGCUAGCGUUGUUCGGAAUUACUGGGCGUAAAGCGCGUGUAGGCGGUUGUUCAAGUCGGGUGUGAAAGCCUUGAGCUCAACUCAAGAAAUGCACUCGGUACUGGAUGACUAGAGGACCGGAGAGGAUAGUGGAAUUCCCAGUGUAGUGGUGAAAUGCGUAGAGAUCAUGAGGAAGACCAGUGGCGAAGGCGGGUCUCUGGACAGUUCCUGACACUGAGACACGAAGGCCAGGGGAGCAAACGGG